rnacentral:misc_RNA from 1 species
AGAGUUUGAAGGUGAUUGAUUCUGAAAUCCUUUGAUAUCUUUUUUAAGUAAACUAAAGAGUAUUUUAAAAAAAUCAAACCUACUUUCGUAUGACAUUUGAUUUAUUGAAAACUCAUUAAGUUCUGUAGUCUAGCAAUGAAUCUUCUUAAAUUCCUAGUUUAUUUUCAAAUCUAAGUGUUUUUAAGUUCAAACCUUGAUUAUCUAUCAACAAUUUUCAAUUGAUCCUUCAAUCAAAGAUUAAAAAGUAGACCCAAUGGAAUCCAACAUUAGGUAAGUCAUAAA